AGCGAACGUUAGCGGCGGGCUUAACACAUGCAAGUCGAACGCGAACACCCCUUCGGGGGUCAGUAGAGUGGCGGACGGGUGAGUAACACGUAGGUAAUCUGCCCUCUGGCGGGGGGACAACUGUCCGAAAGGACAGCUAAUACCGCAUAAGACCACGUCGCCUAAGGGCGCAGUGGUAAAAGGUGGCCUCUGCUUGCAAGCUACCACCAGAGGAUGAGCCUGCGCACCAUCAGCUAGUUGGUGGGGUAAUGGCCUACCAAGGCAAAGACGGUUAGCUGGUCUGAGAGGAUGAUCAGCCACACUGGCAUUGAAACACGGGCCAG
rnacentral:rRNA from 1 species